CAGCCGUAAACUAUGCUCGCUAGGUGUCAGGGACGGUGCGACCGUUUCUGAUGCCGCAGGGAAGCCGUGAAGCGAGCCACCUGGGAAGUACGGUCGCAAGGCUGAAACUUAAAGGAAUUGGCGGGGGAGCACCACAACGGGUGGAGCUUGCGGUUUAAUUGGAUUCAACGCCGGAAAUCUUACCGGGACCGACAGCAACAUGAAGGCCAGGCUGAAGACUUUGCCGGAUUAGCUGAGAGGUGGUGCAUGGCGUAGACGUCU
rnacentral:rRNA from 1 species